ACGGAAGGCAGCAGUGGGGAAUAUUGGGCAAUGGGCGCAAGCCUGACCCAGCAACGCCGCGUGAAGGAAGAAGGCUUUCGGGUUGUAAACUUCUUUUAAGAGGGAAGAGCAGAAGACUGUACCUCUAGAAUAAGCCACGGCUAACUACGUGCCAGCAGCCGCGGUAAUACGUAGGUGGCAAGCGUUGUCCGGAUUUACUGGGUGUAAAGGGCGUGCAGCCGGGAAUGCAAGUCAGAUGUGAAAUCCAUGGGCUUAACCCAUGAACUGCAUUUGAAACUGUAUUUCUUGAGUACUGGAGAGGCAAUCGGAAUUCCUAGUGUAGCGGUGAAAUGCGUAGAUAUUAGGAGGAACACCAGUGGCGAAGGCGGAUUGCUGGACAGCAACUGACGGUGAGGCGCGAAAGUGUGGGGAGCAAACAGGAUUAGAUACCCUGGUA
rnacentral:rRNA from 1 species